rnacentral:rRNA from 1 species
CUGUCCCUACCUACUAUCUAGCGAAACCACGGCCAAGGGAACGGGCUUGGAAGAAUCAGCGGGGAAAGAAGACCCUGUUGAGCUUGACUCUAGUCUGGUACUGUAAGGAGACAUGAGAGGUGUAGCAUAAGUGGGAGGCGGCUCGCCGUCGACAGUGAAAUACCACUACUUUCAUAGUUUCCUUACUUACUCGGUGAGGCGGAAGGCGUCCGUCGGAGUGUCUGCACUCCGGCGCGACGGUAUUCUCGCACCAAGCGCAAAGGGUUGUCGGCGGCCGGUCGGUCGUGGGGAGGCCCGCGGUGGUCCGCUUCGGCGGUUCUGCCGUGCGUGUCGUCACUGCGCUCUUGGUCGCGCCGUCCGGCAACACACUCCCUAGCGUGA